rnacentral:rRNA from 1 species
UGCCAGCAGCCGCGGUAAUACGUAGGGGGCAAGCGUUAUCCGGAAUAACUGGGCGUAAAGGGUGCGUAGGCGGCCCUGCAAGUCAGAAGUGAAAGGCUACGGCUCAACCGUAGUAAGCUUUUGAAACUGUAGGGCUUGAGUGCAGGAGAGGAGAGUAGAAUUCCUAGUGUAGCGGUGAAAUGCGUAGAUAUUAGGAGGAAUACCAGUUGCGAAGGCGGCUCUCUGGACUGUAACUGACGCUGAGGCACGAAAGCGUGGGGAGCGAACAGGAUUAGAUA